GACGAACGCUGGCGGCGUGCUUAACACAUGCAAGUCGAACGGAAAGGCCCUGCUUUUGUGGGGUGCUCGAGUGGCGAACGGGUGAGUAACACGUGAGUAACCUGCCCUUGACUUUGGGAUAACUUCAGGAAACUGGGGCUAAUACCGGAUAGGAGCUCCUGCUGCAUGGUGGGGGUUGGAAAGUUUCGGCGGUUGGGGAUGGACUCGCGGCUUAUCAGCUUGUUGGUGGGGUAGUGGCUUACCAAGGCUUUGACGGGUAGCCGGCCUGAGAGGGUGACCGGCCACAUUGGGACUGAGAUACGGCCCAGAUCCUACGGGAGGCAGCAGUGGGGAAUAUUGCACAAUGGGCGGAAGCCUGAUGCAGCAACGCUGCGUGCGGGAUGACGGCCUUCGGGUUGUAAACCGCUUUCGCCUGUGACGAAGCGUGAGGGACGGUAAUGGUAAA
rnacentral:rRNA from 1 species